AAGUCGUAACAAGGUCUCCGUUGGUGAACCAGCGGAGGGAUCAUUGCUGGAACGCGCCCUAGGCGCACCCAGAAACCCUUUGUGAACUUAUACCUUACUGUUGCCUCGGCGCAUGCUGGCCCCCUCGGGGUCCCCUGGAGACAGGGAGCAGGCACGCCGGCGGCCAAGUUAACUCUUGUUUUUACACUGAAACUCUGAGAAAAAAACACAAAUGAAUCAAAACUUUCAACAACGGAUCUCUUGGUUCUG
rnacentral:misc_RNA from 1 species